GAGCUCCACACCCUGGAUCUCACAUUCACUUGUUUUUUCACAAAUGUUUAUUGAGUUCCUAUGGUUUGGUGGCUGCCGGGCUCGGGGGAGAGUGCAGCAGACCACGCGGAUACGCGUCUGUCCACAGAAGGCCUGUAGGCUGUGACACCGGCUGGGGCAGGAGCUCUGGGAGAAGGUCCAGCUCCUCCAUGGCUCCCCCUGCCUCCCUCCGGCUCAUGGAGCCCACUGGGACAACCCUCAGCACCCUCUCCCCUCUCCUCUCUUUCAUCCUCUCCCGUGGGGCAUCUAUGACCUGGGAGGCACUGGGGAAACAGAGGUGAAGCAAGACGGCCAGGUGGCAGGCCACUGCAACAGACGAGGUUGGCAGCACCGAAGCAGUCCAGCCAGCCUGGAGAAGCCCUGGACACCCACUCCUGUCCUCAGAACGUGAAAGACGGGCAUGCUGCUGCAGAUGGAGAGCGUGUUGGACACAGCUUGUCCACAGAGUUUCCAAUACGCAUGGGAAGAUGCAACAAAGCUAGACAGCAGCUACCGGGAAAACGAACCAAAAUAAAAGUGCAAGACAUAUCACAGGGCGACACGAUUAAUUGCCAAGUCACUGACAUGGACAAAUUUAAUACUGAUGGAAUGAUUCUGUCUCUAUUUCUCAGGCAGACUGGCGCUGGGGUAGAAAGAAGGGAGACCACAAAUUCCUUGUGGUGUAUGGGUUGCUCAAAUUAUUACAAAAACCAGGCAUUAAUUUUGCAUGCAUUAAUCUUAUAAAAUACGGUAAAUAUGACAGGCACAUAGAGCACAAUUGUAGCUCAAACUCAGAGAGGCCCUUUGGUAGCCACAGAAGGCCUGGCGGAGGAAGCAGGUUUUUGUUUUUUGUUUUUAAAUGUUUUUAUUUAUUUUUGAGACAGAGAGAGACAGAGCAUGAGCAGGGGAGGAGCAGAGAGAGAGGGAGACACAGACCGGGAAGCAGGCUCCAGGCUCUGAGCUGUUAGCACAGAGCCUGACGCGGGGCUCGAACUCACGGACCGUGAGAUCAUGAUCUGAGCCGAAGUUGGACGCCCAACCGACUGAGCUACCCGGGCACCCUGGAGGAAGCAGGUUUGAGAAAAGUCCUGUAGGAUUGGAAGGGGUGAGGCAGGUAGUCCAUACAGCAGAAUAAUCUGUGUUAAGAGCACAAGCUGGAAAGCCUGGGGCAAGGCCCAGCCUAAGGGAGAGGGGUCUAGCUGAAUCCUUCCCCUGAUGAAGGGAGGCCAUGCUCUUGCCUCCCCAAGGCCUACGAGGACAGCCCAAGCCGGCAACUUGGGUGGGUGCCAGAGUGUCUCUUGGGUGAGGCACCUCUGUCCCAUGAAGCUGAGGUCAGCCCUCCCAGCCCGUGAGCUGCAAGGACAUGUCACAGUGGCAUCUGGCAGACUUCAGUCCACCUGCUACAGGUCUGCCUGGAUAUCCUCUGGGGGGGCCAGAGUGAAUUCACUGUUCGGAGAAAGGAGUGGCUCGCCCAAGGUCAGCCUGGUCAGCUGACACAAUACUCACCAGCACUCUGAAUGCUCCUUCUCCUUCCAGAGGAGCCUGCCCUAGGCCAGCUUGGCCAGCCUGGGCACCCCCUGCACACUCCACUCCCCAUCAGCUCCGGCCCCGCUCCUGAGGCCAGCUGGCUGACCCCUACGUCCUGCAGAAGCUGAAACCAGUCUGGCCUUGAGCCCAGGAAUGCACUGGCCCAUGUUAUGCACUGGCCCAUGUUCCCGCAUUUUUUGUCACCCACUCACCUGCCUCCUGCCCCUUCGGGGGUUUCCAGGUGUCAAAAUCCCAGAUAUCAAGGCCCACAGGUGAGGGGCCAUUUCCAGACUAAUUCCCAAGAGUGAGCCUGGCAGGAAGGGGACUCUAGGAUAUUCCUUCUGGUCAUAAGCUUCUGUUCAGGAGGAUUUGGGGGUGACCUCACCUGCUGUGUUCAUCAGGCUUGGGCCAGGUCCCACCUAGACUGGAGAGCUUAAUCAAGCUGCCACUGGGAAAAAGGAGGUUGGUGAAUCGUGCUUCUGGGCUGCUCUGUGGCCUCUGCAUGGUGAAUCUGACUCAGGGGAGUCAGUAGAAAAAGAGUGCAGGUUUGAGGCCCCACAGCUCCAGGGCUAAAUCUCACUACUUCCUAGGUAUUUGUGAGUCUCAUCUGUACAGUGGGUAUAUACAUCCACAGCUUAAAUAAAAUAAUACAAGUAAACAA